CUUUACUCAAAGAGUAAACUUUGCUUUACUUGUUCCUCAUUGUUAUUCAGAUCAGAAAAUGAUUUUUAUAUCUAUUAAUUUUCCCUUAAUUCAAGCAACUCCAAUCGAAUUCAAGUAUUACAAGUAUUUCAAUCUCUCAUAAGGCAGUUGAUUGAAGGUCGCAUGAUAAGGAAUAGUGAGGCUAUUCUCUAUUCAUUUACAUAUGAUUUGUGCGAUUUCAACAGUUCUCAGUCGUAUCACACGAAGCAAAAGUUUAGCAUUUCGAUUACAACAAGGGUCAGCAGCGAGUGUCUGGCUCCCAAAAUUUUUCUCCGAAUACUUAAAAGUAACUGAAAAUAUGUCUGUUGCUAAAGGAAAACAAAUUUGCAUAGUGGGCAGUGGUAAUUGGGGUUCUGUUAUUGCCAAAAUUGUUGGUCAAAAUGUCCAAAAAUUAGAAAAGUUCGACAACAGAGUUACUAUGUAUGUUUAUGAAGAAAUGGUGAAUGGUAAAAAACUCACUGAAAUAAUUAAUGAGGAGCAUGAGAAUGUGAAAUACCUCCCAGGCCAUAAACUGCCUCCUAAUGUUGAAGCUAUACCUGAUGUUGUGGAUGCAGCAAAAGAUGCCGAUAUUCUUAUUUUUGUGCUUCCUCAUCAAUUCAUCAAAGGAAUUUGCUCAACACUACUGGGAAAGAUUAAGCCCACUGCCAUUGCUCUUUCUCUCAUCAAGGGAUUUGAUAGAUUAGAUGGUGGGGGUAUAGAAUUAAUAUCACAUAUAAUCAAUCGACAUCUGAAGAUUCCUUGCCAUGUUCUAAUGGGUGCCAAUUUAGCCAAUGAGGUAGCUAAUGAACAGUUUUGCGAAACAACCAUUGGAUGUAGGGAUAGGAAAAUAGGUGCAAUGCUGAGAGACAUUAUCCAGACCGAAUACUUCAGAGUUGUAGUUGUUGAUGAUGAAGAUACAGUUGAAAUUUGUGGUGCACUUAAGAAUAUUGUGGCAUGCGGUGCAGGUUUUGUAGAUGGACUUGGUCUUGGAGAUAACACAAAAGCUGCAGUCAUAAGACUUGGACUCAUGGAGAUGAUAAAAUUUGUAGAUGUUUUUUACCCUGGUGGUAAAUUGUCCACCUUUUUUGAAAGUUGUGGAGUGGCUGAUUUGAUAACAACUUGUUUUGGUGGACGUAAUAGAAAAUGUUCCGAAGCUUUUGUUAAAACUGGUAAAUCAAUAAAGAAACUAGAAGAUGAAAUGCUGAAUGGGCAGAAACUGCAAGGACCAAUCACAGCAGAAGAGGUUAAUUUUAUGUUGAAAAGCAAGGGCAUGGAAGACAAAUUCCCGAUUUUCACAACAGUCCACAAAAUUUGCACAGGGGAGUUGAAACCACAAGAAUUCAUCAAUUGUAUUAGAGAGCACCCAGAGCAUAUGAAUACUAACGAUACUAAAAGUGAAAGUCAUCAACAAAGCAAACUUUAACUGCUUUUCAUUAUAACCAUACACAUGCAUUAUUUUUCACGAUUUUGUUUUUGUGUGGGUGAAGUAUGAAACAGAAGAUGAUUGAAUAUAUAUAUGCAUAUCAGAGAAAUUUAUGGAAUGAUAAGUAAAAUAUAUGAAUAUUUUAGAAAUGACUUUGAAAUUAAAGUACAGUGAACUCAUGGAGUUGUUAAUAGUAUUUUUGUUGUUAAA